AAUGAUAUCAAAAAAUUACAAAAUUUAUUUUCUAGAUACUUCAAAUAUGCUAGAUCAAGUCUAACGGAGCCGAUUGUCGAUUCGGAAGCUCCAUCAUAAAAAACGGCUACAGGUAGUGUUGGUUUUUGGUUCUUGUACAUACUGAUGUUAGAUUCUCGCUGGAGCGAGUGUUAUGUAUCUGGAGACUAUGUAUGUAUUGAAAACCUGAUGUUAUUUAUAUGUGUUUUUCAGUUUAGCAGCUCUAUACUACUAGUUGUAGUUCUGUCUGAUUACAGGUACAGGUACAACUAUUGCUUCGUAUACAGAAAAUUUUUUUUUGUAUACGGCAGAUUUGUCGGCGUGCCCGGAAAAAUGAGUAAUCCAGGGUGUGACAGAUUAAGUUGGUAU
rnacentral:lncRNA from 1 species